UACGGGAGGCAGCAGUGGGGAAUAUUGCACAAUGGGGGAAACCCUGAUGCAGCGACGCCGCGUGAAGGAAGAAGUAUUUCGGUAUGUAAACUUCUAUCAGCAGGGAAGAAAAUGACGGUACCUGACUAAGAAGCCCCGGCUAACUACGUGCCAGCAGCCGCGGUAAUACGUAGGGGGCAAGCGUUAUCCGGAUUUACUGGGUGUAAAGGGAGCGUAGACGGAAGUGCAAGUCUGAAGUGAAAGCCCGGGGCUCAACCCCGUGACUGCUUUGGAAACUGUNCUUCUAGAGUGUCGGAGAGGUAAGCGGAAUUCCUAGUGUAGCGGUGAAAUGCGUAGAUAUUAGGAGGAACANCAGUGGCGAAGGCGGCUUACUGGACGAUAACUGACGUUGAGGCUCGAAAGCGUGGGGAGCAAACAGGAUUAGAUACCCUGGUAGUCCACGCCGUAAACGAUGANUACUAGGUGUCGGGGUACAAAGUACUUCGGUGCCGCAGCCAACGCAAUAAGUAUUCCACCUGGGGAGUACGUUCGCAAGAAUGAAACUCAAAGGAAUUGACGGA
rnacentral:rRNA from 1 species